UGGGGAAUUUUGGACAAUGGGCGAAAGCCUGAUCCAGCAAUGCCGCGUGUGUGAAGAAGGCCUUCGGGUUGUAAAGCACUUUUGUCCGGAAAGAAAUCCUUGGCUCUAAUACAGUCGGGGGAUGACGGUACCGGAAGAAUAAGCACCGGCUAACUACGUGCCAGCAGCCGCGGUAAUACGUAGGGUGCAAGCGUUAAUCGGAAUUACUGGGCGUAAAGCGUGCGCAGGCGGUUUGCUAAGACCGAUGUGAAAUCCCCGGGCUCAACCUGGGAACUGCAUUGGUGACUGGCAGGCUAGAGUAUGGCAGAGGGGGGUAGAAUUCCACGUGUAGCAGUGAAAUGCGUAGAGAUGUGGAGGAAUACCGAUGGCGAAGGCAGCCCCCUGGGCCAAUACUGACGCUCAUGCACGAAAGCGUGGGGAGCAAACAGGAUUAGAUACCCUGGUAGUCCAGCGCCCUAAACGAUGUCAACUAGUUGUUGGGGAUUCAUUUCCUUAGUAACGUAGCUAACGCGUGAAGUUGACCGCCUGGGGAGUACGGUCGCAAGAUUAAAACUUAAAGGAAUUGACGGGGUCAUAGCUGUUUCCU
rnacentral:rRNA from 1 species